rnacentral:tRNA from 1 species
AAAAAUCUUAGUUUAAUAAAAAUAUUUCAUUUACAUUGAAAAGUUUAUUAGUAUUAGUGUGAUUAAUAAGAUUUUA